AAUUCCCUAUAGGUAAAUAACAGAUAACGGUCUUUGGAGAUUUGCUUAUGAAAUAAUAGGCGCUUAAUACACCUGAUAAGUGAAAACAAAUUUUCAUCGCUGUUCUAAAUAUUCUGGCGGUUCACAGGAAAGGAAGUGUUUACAGAUUUACAAAACGGGCUUUAAGCACCCUUGGAGGAUGGCAUUGUGUCCUUGGCCCAUCAAUCAGAGGACCUGUGGCCUUGGGGAGGAGGAGGACCAUCCUAGGAGGGGUGCAGGGAGACAGAGAGCCAGGUGUCGGCUUCUGGUCUGAAAAAUGGUCUCCAGAAGAAGGGAGAUCUUCAAGUCUACCCACAAACAGGUAGGUUAAAACAAAACUAAACGAAGAGCUAAUCACUUGGCCCUAAGGAAAGGAUUGAGGCCAUCUUGUCUGUGAACGAGGGAGUUUUUAAGGGCUUGAAAAGGGAGGCCCGGAGGCCUGGUGAAGCUGGGAGAACCACACUGGGGGAGAGGACAGUUUCAGAGACAGCUUGGCUUUGCCGUGUGCCCCAGGGAGCUGAGGUGCAGGCAGGCCUGAGCCAGCAGAUUAGCCCUAACUAUCCCUGUCAGUUAGCCUCUGUAUUAUUAGUCUGCUCAGGCUGCCAUAACAAAAUACCACCCACCGGGUGUGGCUUACACGACAGAAAUUUAUUUCCCAUGCUUCUGGAGCCUAGAAGUCCAAGAUCAAGGUGUCACCGAGAUGGUCUCUCCCAAGGCCUGUCUCCAUGGCUUGCGGACGGCCGCCUUCUCCCUGCGUCCUCAGAUGGCCUUCCCUCCGUACAUAAAUAUAUCUCCCGGGGUCUCUCCUGCUUCUUUCACGGACACUAGUCAUAGGGGAUUAAGGCCCCACCCUGGUGACCUCAUUUAACCUUAAUUAUCUCUUUAUAGGCCCAGUCUCCAAAAACAGUCACAUUCUGAGGUGCGCUGCAGACCUUGAAGAAGAAAUCUUGGUCAAAGAUGUGCUGUGCCUGGAAAACAGAGCAGCAAGGAGCCUUCAGGGACCAGAGGUUCACUCUCUUCCUUCCAAAGGAAGGGAGUCCUGAAGAAGGUAAGUGGUUUCCUCGGGACUGACACACAGGCAUCUUGGCUCGAAGUGGAAUCUCUUUUUGGGAGAAAGAGACAUGAGCCCACGAAUGAGCUGGGUCCACCUCGGUUUCUUCUUUGGGCUCCCAUGUAGAGAGCAACGUUGAUUUAAGCCCCAAUAAAUGAAGAUGCCUGUC